GUGCCAGCAGCCGCGGUAAUACAGAGGGUGCAAGCGUUGCUCGGAAUCAUUGGGCGUAAAGGGCAGGUAGGUGGUCUGAUUUGUCUGGCGGUGAAAUCCUUGAGCUUAACUCAAGAAGUGCCCCGGAAACGGUCAGACUUACGAGUCUUGGAGAGGGUGGCGGAAUUCCCGGUGUAGCGGUGAAAUGCGUAGAGAUCGGGAGGAACACCAGAGGCGAAGGCGGCCACCUGGACAAGCACUGACACUCAACUGCGAAAGCGUGGGGAGCAAACAGGAUUAGAUACCCUGGUAGUCC
rnacentral:rRNA from 1 species